GACGAACGCUGGCGGCGUGCUUAACACAUGCCAGUCGAACGGAAAGGCCCUGCUUGCGGGGUACUCGAGUGGCGAACGGGUGAGUAACACGUGGGUGAUCUGCCCUGCACUUCUGGAUAAGCCUGGGAAACUGGGUCUAAUACCGGAUAGGAGCCAUUUUUAGUGUGAUGGUUGGAAAGUUUUUUCGGUGUAGGAUGAGCUCGCGGCCUAUCAGCUUGUUGGUGGGGUAAUGGCCUACCAAGGCGGCGAAGGGUAGCCGGCCUGAGGGGGUGGACGGCCACAUUGGGGCUGGGAUACGGCCCAGACUCCUACGGGGGGCAGCAGGGGGGAAUAUUGCACAAUGGGCGCAAGCCUGAUGCAGCGACGCCGCGUGGGGGAUGACGGCCUUCGGGUUGUAAACUCCUUUCGCUAGGGACGAAGCUUUUUGUGACGGUACCUAGAUAAGAAGCACCGGCUAACUACGUG
rnacentral:rRNA from 1 species